rnacentral:lncRNA from 1 species
AUUUUGGAUAUCGAUAAAAAGUUAAAUAAAUGUGUAUUAAUUUUUGUAGAGAUCAAAUUUGUAUUUGGAACUGUAACUGAAACCUCGAAAACUGACACAACCCCAAGGAACAUCAAAGGGUUAAUCAUGUGUAAUUGCGUUGGUGGAGCCCACAACAAAACGCAAAAGCAAAUAAGAAAGGCAAGGGAAGUUGUAAAGGGCGCACAAGAAGAACGAAACAUGACGAAAACGAAACGAAACGCAAUGGAAUUGCAUGGAACGGAUUGGUACGCGCCUCGUCGUCUCUUCUGCUUUUUUGGGGGCGAGGAAGUGAAUUUCUGCCUUUGAACGUGACGGAAAUUGAAUUUCCGUUUCUUGGCGAUGACACUUUUGGCAGAAUGAGAGAGAGAGGCUACAAAACGCCAACGUUAGUCAUGAAGUGGAUGCCCUUUGGCGGAGGGUAUUAUGAUUUCACAGAUAUGUUUGGUGGAGAAGAAACGAUCGCUCUGUGAGUGUAUCUCCGUUUCUUUAGCUUCUUUUCCUCCACCGUUUCGGAAGUCAGUAGGCGAGUGACGCAUGCGCGCUGUGGCAGAGGCAACGCCAACGCCAUGAGCAGAGGUUGAAGUGUAUGUUUGUAAGUAUCUCUGGUUUCUACUACUGCUGUAUGUCUGUGGUCUGCCUCGAAGCGAGUGUGUUGUGUGUGUGUGUGUGGGUUGCCCCAAUCAUGUCAGAACGGGCUUGGAAAUGAGUUGUAAUUAGGAGCUACCUACAAACAGUUCCGGUUCUGAGCUCUCCAUGCUGUUCGGGGUUUCCCGUUCCUCCCCACCACCUCUGCUCCACCUAAUUGUUGUGGCUAUCCCACUGUAUGCCUGUCAAUGGGUUGAUUUACUGCGUUCGCGUGGGCGAAGAUAUAUUUAUUGGCGGUGGAGAAAUAUACAGGGAAAACGUGACUAUAAAAAUGGUAGCAAAGAAAAAGAGGUAAUUGGUUUGUGAAACUCUCAUUUGGUACUGCAGUAAAGACAGUUACAAUAUCGAUGGAAGGUAUUCCCUAUAAGUCAGUUGAUUGUAGCUAAGAUUUAUAUUCAUUAUUGCUCAUCUUUUAUUGUAUUUUUCUCUAGAGAACCUCGUAACUCAUUUGCACACCAUUCAAUUCCACUUUUUGAAUUACAAUUUCCACAGUUAUUCGCAUUUUUUGUGUGAUUUUUAUGGAGUUGUGGUCUAGUUAGGAGAUUGCAUUUAAUUGUUCGAAGGUUUUAUGGAUGGAUGAAUGUCUAAUUGCCAGGUAGCGCCAUUCCCAUUCCUAUAGAAAUUUCUUCUCCUCUACCAGCUCCCCCAUUGCUCUCCUACUUUAGAUGUUUGUGGGUGGGUUUGGGUGUCUUUGAGGGUCGACUGGCGGUCGUUAGUCGCUGAGUUGCGUUGGUGGCUGCAAUUUCCUGCCACACCGCACCGCACCCCGCACCACACUCUUUCUGCCGCAUGCUAAUGCUAUAAACUUUGCAAUUAUUGCAUUUACUCUCAUUUACCACUGAGUUUGAGUUUGCUGCCGUUACUGUUGUUGCUUUGUUGCUGCUGCCGCCUCGUUAUUGCCGGCGCACACGGGCCAGGCCACUUAAAAGCAGCAGCAACAACAACAACAACAACAACAACAACAACAACAACAACAAAGAAACAUAAAACGAUAUGGGGGCAAGCGUGAGAGGUGGUGUGGAACCCAAGAGGCGAGGCCCAAGUGGCGGACCAUAAGGAAAAUUGCAAUGGAGAAGCAUUCACGCCUGGCGCCAGGCAGCCAGGCAGACCAGAACGCCAGAGCCCCCAGACAUUUAGGACAGAAAUCAGAGAGCCCCCGCCAACAGAGAGAGAGUGGAGAAUAGAGAAUCGCAGAGGAGAGAGUGACUGGACUCUGGAGGAGCCAGAGAACCAGAUGGAACCAACAUUUAUAGUGGUGGUAGAACUUUCGUUAAGUUGUGGCACAACAAAUGAAAGUUGGGGAUAAAUAUGAGUCACUUCCUUCCAAAACUCACGCUUCUAUUUCGAACCUUAAAGCCCUUGUGUAGCCCUCUCCCAUCUCUAAUUUCCUGCACGUAUCCAAAGUUCCGUUAGCUACAACGAAAGUGUAACGGUAGAGAGUUGGCAGCUCUAUGAUGAAAGGGCGCUGCAAAGUACCGAGGGGAGAGCGAGGACCGCAGCUAGACUUAUGCUGAACAUUUCCGCGGAAGUUAUUGGCAGGGGAAGUCCCCUCCCACACACCUCUACGCGGUGCAUCAACGCCACCGCCCACUCAAUGUUCUCACAUGUUUUCCGCAAACAAACAACUUUGCUGGAAAGCCGAGAGAGAGGGAAGGAAGUCAGCAGCAAGGCAGGGAGCAUAGGAAGCAGAGAGAUGGCUGGCGAAGCUUUUGGGCCCAUAAUGCACGCCACAAAUAAUUUGCAAAUUACGGGCACAGGUAAUUGUCGUCGCCAUCGUUUGUUGCAGUUGUUGUUGUUGUUGUUGUAGUCACUGCCUGCCGCAUGUUCUGCCGUUGCAACCAGCAGGUGAGAAGAAAAUAAAAUACAAAACCAUCGACCGUCGUCAUCAUCGCCCAUCGUCAUCGUCGUUGUGGCUGCAAUUACAAGCAGGAAAUGAGAGCCAUACCUAUCGAAGGUUUAGAUACCCUUUAUAGAAAGAGAAUUGCUAGGAAUAGUAUAGGAGGAUAUAGUCAUUCGACAUGGAUCACAUUUGGCUUGAAUUUUUGAAGAAAACUACAUGAAGCUCGGGAUACAAUUUGCAUUUUUCAUGGAUCUCUCAAUGGAUUCCCAGUUCCGACACAGAAACUCUUUCUGGAUUCCUCGAUUUGUAAAUACUUUUCUGCCUUUCCGCUAGGGUAUCAAAAGUAUUCAAAUAGUGAGAAAACUCUAAGGGCAGCCUGUAUUUGGCAUCGACAUUUAGGGAGGGCAACAUAAGGAAAUUCGACCCCUCAUUCUGUUGAUAAUUGGGUCAUAAAAAAGUUAUUUGUGUAAAAUUAUGAAAAUAAACUCAAUUGCAAUAAUUUGCUAUACAGGAAAAUGGCAGCAAACAAAUGUGGAGGAUUACCAGGAAAUUAUCAAGGAGCAGGCAAAGGAAUGAGGCACGACUCCCUUGAACUGAAUGGACUGGAAUGGAAUGCAAAAGCUGUAGCGGCUGCGUGUGGCAUACAAAUCACAGGAAAUAUAUCCACUUUAUGAUUUCCCCUGAAAUCAUAGGAAUUUUCUUUCGUAAAAAGUUAUAUAAUUGGAAGCAGAGCAGAGCCAAAAGUUAAGAUAUUUACGUCGAAAUGGCAGAAUAAUUAGGGAUAAUAAUUUGUAGACCGGAAAAGGAAGGAGAGAGCAGCAGAAAGAGGAUGAGAGUAGCUUUGGGAUGCAACACAGAAAAUAUUGAGGCCAAUAAAUUAACAUAAUGUAUGAUGAAAAUUCAC